rnacentral:rRNA from 1 species
UACGUAGGUGGCAAGCGUUGUCCGGACUUACUGGGCGUAAAGGAUGCGUAGGCGGAUAUUUAAGUCAGAUGUGAAAUACCCGAGCUUAACUUGGGUGCUGCAUUUGAAACUGGAUAUCUAGAGUGUGGGAGAGGAAAGUGGAAUUCCUAGUGUAGCGGUGAAAUGCGUAGAGAUUAGGAAGAACACCAGUGGCGAAGGCGACUUUCUGGACCAUAACUGACGCUGAGGCAUGAAAGCGUGGGGAGCAAACAGG